UACGAAGGGGGCUAGCGUUGUUCGGAAUUACUGGGCGUAGAGGGCGCGUAGGCGGCGUGUCAAGUCAGGCGUGAAAGCCCCGGGCUCAACCUGGGAACCGCGCUUGAGACUGGCAUGCUCGAGUUCGGGAGAGGAUGGUGGAAUUCCCAGUGUAGAGGUGAAAUUCGUAGAUAUUGGGAAGAACACCGAUGGCGAAGGCAGCCAUCUGGACCGACACUGAUGCUGAGGCGCGAAAGCGUGGGGAGCAAACAGG
rnacentral:rRNA from 1 species